rnacentral:tRNA from 3 species
GGGGGUAUGGCGGAAUUGGUAGACGCUACGGACUUAAAAUCCGUUGGCUUUAUUGACCGUGAGGGUUCAAGUCCCUCUACCCCCAA